rnacentral:lncRNA from 1 species
AUGAGAUUAAGGCUGUCACUAUGGAUCAAAAUUGAUUGACACAUACUAUUUAUAGCCAGACACUUUACUGCAGUUCUCCUAGUCCACAUGGCUGGAGUGACAGUGCCAUAAAGAAGCCACAACCACAAUUAGGAGUCUCACUGGUGAUCAGUAAAGGAGCGGCUCUGGAGAUUAAGCUGUCAGUGUUCCUGUGGGCUAAGUACAGACAGCCAAAAAGCCCAAGGCUGAACCAAUUCAAUCUUCGCAGGGAAGAUGUGAGCAGAACAUUAGUCAGCUGUCAGGAUACAUGGCUGCACUGCUGA